rnacentral:rRNA from 1 species
GACAGAGGGUGCAAACGUUGCUCGGAAUCACUGGGCGUAAAGGGCGUGUAGGCGGGGAUGUAAGUCGGGCGUGAAAUCCCUAGGCUCAACCUAGGAACUGCACUCGAAACUGCGUUUCUUGAGUAUCGGAGAGGAAAGCGGAAUACCUGGUGUAGAGGUGAAAUUCGUAGAUAUCAGGUGGAACACCAGUGGCGAAGGCGGCUUUCUGGACGAUAACUGACGCUGAGACGCGAAAGCGUGGGGAGCAAACAGG